AAAAGUUAAGAGCAUUCACUUAGGGUGAGUAAGAAAUUAGUUGGGGAGAACGAAAAUGAGAAUCGGUAAGUACCACAACUCUUGAAAAACCGAGCAAGCAUAAAAAAAAAAUAUAUAAAAAAUAUAGAAAAGAAACAUUUGUUUUGUAAAUAUGAUGUGAAAGAAAAGAACAAAAAUAGAAAGAAUGAAAAUGAAUGCUUGCUUGGAAGAAAAAUAGUGAAAAAUAAAAA
rnacentral:lncRNA from 1 species